GCUCGCCAGGCCUGCAUUGACGCUCGGGCACGAAAGCGUGGGGAUCGAACAGGAUUAGAUACCCUGGUAGUCCACGCCGUAAACGAUGGGCGCUCGUCGUCGGCGGCAGACAGUCGGCGGCCAAGCGAAAGCGAUAAGCGCCCCACCUGGGGAGUACGGUCGCAAGGCUGAAACUCGAAGGAAUUGACGGGGGCCCGCACAAGCGGUGGAGCAUGUGGUUUAAUUCGAUGAUACGCGAGGAACCUUACCCGGGCUUGAACUGCAGUGGAACGACGGGGAGACCCGAAGGCCCGCAAGGGCUGCUGCAGAGGUGCUGCAUGGUUGUCGUCAGCUCGUGCCGUGAGGUGUCGGGUCAAGUCCCAUAACGAGCGCAACCCCUGCGUCCAGUUGCCAGCGGUCAGGCCGGGCACUCUGGACGGACUGCCCGCGCAAGCGGAGAGGAAGGCGGGGAUGACGUCAAAUCAGCACGGCCCUUACGUCCGGGGCGACACACGUGCUACAAUGGCCGGCACAGAGGGGAGCCACGCGGCGACGCGGAGCGGAUCCCGAAAGUCGGUCACAGUCCGGAUCGGAGUCUGCAACCCGACUCCGUGAAGCUGGA
rnacentral:rRNA from 1 species